UACGGGGGGAGCAAGCGUUGUUCGGAUUUACUGGGCGUAAAGGGCGCGUAGGCGGUCAGCACAAGUCAGUUGUGAAAUCUCCGGGCUUAACUCGGAAAGGUCAACUGAUACUGUGCGACUAGAGUGCGGAAGGGGCAACUGGAAUUCCUGGUGUAGCGGUGAAAUGCGCAGAUAUCAGGAGGAACACCGGUGGCGAAGGCGGGUCUCUAGGCCGACACUGACGCUGAGGAGCGAAAGCGUGGGGAGCGAACAGG
rnacentral:rRNA from 1 species